UAGGGACAUAUAAAAAAGACAACUCUCUUCCGCAGAGUAGCUAUUGACAUUAUAGUUGCGCAGGAACUUUGUUGACUCUAGAGAACCUCGGGCCAAUCGCACAUCCUCAUGACGGCGACUUUGCAUUUGGAUGUCAUCCAUAUCAACUUUUGGUGCCAGUUUCUGCACCUACCAUGGUGACCACGGGUAAUGGGGAAUCAGAGUUCCAUUCCAUACAGGGACCCUGAGAAAUGGCUACCACAUGCAAGGAAGGCAGCAGGCGCGCAAAUGACCCACUCCCGACGCGGGAAGGUAGUGA